CCUACGGGCGGCAGCAGUGAGGAAUAUUGGUCAAUGGCCGGAAGGCUGAACCAGCCAUGCCGCGUGAAGGUCAGUGCCCUAUGGGCGUUAAACUUCUUUUGUGCGGGAGCAAUAAUGGUCACGUGUGGCCAGACGAGAGUACCGUACGAAUAAGCAUCGGCUAACUCCGUGCCAGCAGCCGCGGUAAUACGGGGGAUGCAAGCGUUAGCCGGAUUUAUUGGGUUUAAAGGGUGCGUAGGCUGUGAGGUAAGUCAGCGGUGAAAUGCCCGCGCUCAACGGGGUGAAGUGCCAUUGAUACUGCCAUGCUGGAAUGCGGAUGCCGUGGGAGGAAUGUGUGGUGUAGCGGUGAAAUGCAUAGAUAUCACACAGAACACCGAUUGCGAAGGCAUCUCACGAAUCCGCGAUUGACGCUGAUGCACGAAAGCGUGGGUAUCAAACAGGAUUAGAUACCCCUGUAGUC
rnacentral:rRNA from 1 species